rnacentral:rRNA from 1 species
CUACUCCUACGGGGCGCAGCAGUGGGGAAUAUUGCACAAUGGGGGAAACCCUGAUGCAGCGACGCCGCGUGAGUGAGGAAGAAUUUCGGUAUGUAAAGCUCUAUCAGCAGGGAAGAAAAUGACGGUACCUGACCAAGAAGCCCCGGCUAACUACGUGCCAGCAGCCGCGGUAAUACGUAGGGGGCAAGCGUUAUCCGGAUUUACUGGGUGUAAAGGGAGCGUAGACGGAUAA